UUGUUUGUGCUUCAUUAUAAAAAAUAGUUUCACUUUUGCUGAUCUGAUAAGGACUUGGAUUUCCUUAUUUUUGUGCAGAUUCACUUGAGAAGUCAGUCUGAGCUGACGAGAUCUGUCUUGCUUUGCCAGAUUCACUUGAGAAGUCAGUCUGAGUCGACGAGAUCCGUCUUGCUUUGCCAGCAUGUCAGAAAGCGGAUCAACGAGUCAAGAAGAUGCUGAUAACUACUCACCUGUGACUGGCGAUGGAUGUUAUAUAUAUGUAAUUCGUGAAAAAUACACAGAUUAUUACAAAGUGGGGAAAACCGUAAAUCCCUCCAAGAGACUGGGAGACCUACAGACUGGGAAUCCCCGUGAGCUAAUAUUCAAACGUAUUAAGAAGGUAGAAGAUAAAAAAUGGGAGAAAUAUGUUCAAGACAAUCUGAAGGAUUACAGCGUCACACAGGGUGGUGGGACAGAAUGGUUUAAAAUCCCAAUGAUACAUAAAAAAAUUAUUUAUGAUGUGCUUGAUGAAGUACCCUCUGCAAACCUUUCAGAAUAUUCUGUUGGCGAGGAAUAACACACAUAAGCUGGUUUCACUUUAUACUUCAGCAUAACAAUGUUGAAUUACAGAAUUACCGACACCAGCUCAAUUUUGCACAGUACGGCUUUGUCUUUCCCUUGCAUUAGAUUAUAAAGCUGAAAUAAACAAAAGUUAUACAUAUUUUCAUACCUAUUAUUAGCAAUUUCAAUAUCAUUCCCUCAUCUCUUCUGUUAAGUGUCCUUUGGUUCUUUUAAUUUGGAAUAUGCAGUUGUCAAACAGUUAUUUUUACAAGCAUACUAGUGGUCCAUCAUUAUAUAUUCUGCUUUAAUUACAAUAGUCAUAUCUCCUGUAAACAUAACCCAUGUUUGUGACUAAUUAUUAGGACAACAUAGCUACUGCAUUGUCAACAAGCAAUGUCUAGCUAUUUAGUUGAAUCAUUUGCCGCUUUAUAUUUCUAUGAAGUUAUGUAAAAUACUAAAAUCGCCUCUGUCAUUUCUCAGAAGAAUGAAGGAUACUGUAUGUGGCCUGUGAAGCAAUGUUAAUAAACAGGAACCGCUUUGGAUUACAACUUGACUCUGUGGACUUCAUUAAAAACAGAGUCACUUCUUCAUACAGAGGGUAUGGAACAACUACCUAGUCAUGUUGUUUAGGCAGAUCCAGCUAGACAAGCUUUAGAGAUCAAUCACUUACUCUGAACCAGAAGAGCUCUGAUGACUGCAUCUUGUUCAAAGAUUCUUAUGUUUAUGUU